UGGGGAAUUUUGGACAAUGGGCGCAAGCCUGAUCCAGCCAUGCCGCGUGCGGGAAGAAGGCCUUCGGGUUGUAAACCGCUUUUGUCAGGGAAGAAAUCUUCUGAGUUAAUACCUCGGGGAGGAUGACGGUACCUGAAGAAUAAGCACCGGCUAACUACGCGCCAGCAGCCGCGGUAAUACGUAGGGUGCAAGCGUUAAUCGGAAUACUGGGCGUAAAGCGUGCGCAGGCGGUUUUGUAAGACAGAGGUGAAAUCCCCGGGCUCAACCUGGGAACUGCCUUUGUGACUGCAAGGCUUGAGUGCGGCAGAGGGGGGAUGGAAUUCCGCGUGUAGCAGUGAAAUGCGUAGAUAUGCGGAGGAACACCGAUGGCGAAGGCAAUCCCCUGGGGCCUGCACUGACGCUCAUGCACGAAAGCGUGGGGAGCAAACAGGAUUAGAUACCCUGGUAGUCCACGCCCUAAACGAUGUCAACUGGUUGUU
rnacentral:rRNA from 1 species